UACGUAGGGGGCAAGCGUUAUCCGGAUUCACUGGGUGUAAAGGGAGCGUAGACGGCAUAUCAAGCCAGAUGUGAAAAUCCGCGGCUCAACCGCGGACCUGCAUUUGGAACUGAUGAGCUGGAGUACUGGAGGGGCAGGCGGAAUUCCUGGUGUAGCGGUGAAAUGCGUAGAUAUCAGGAGGAACACCGGUGGCGAAGGCGGCCUGCUGGACGGAUACUGACGUUGAGGCUCGAAAGCGUGGGGAGCAAAC
rnacentral:rRNA from 1 species